ACUCCUACGGGAGGCAGCAGUAGGGAAUAUUGGUCAAUGGAGGCAACUCUGAACCAGCCAUGCCGCGUGAAGGAAGAAGGCCUUCUGGGUUGUAAACUUCUUUUAUAUAGGAAGAAAAUUCCCUUGCGAGGGAUUAUGACGGUACUAUAUGAAUAAGCACCGGCUAACUCCGUGCCAGCAGCCGCGGUAAUACGGAGGGUGCAAGCGUUGUCCGGAAUUAUUGGGUUUAAAGGGUGCGUAGGCGGUUUUUUAAGUCGGAGUUGAAAUCCCACAGCUUAACUGUGGAACUGGCUCCGAUACUGGAAAACUUGAGUAUUGUUAAGGUAGGCGGAAUUUAAGAUGUAGCGGUGAAAUGCAUAGAUAUCUUAAAGAACCCAAUUGCGUAGGCAGCUUACUGGACAAUAACUGACGCUGAGGCACGAAAGCGUGGGGAGCGAACAGGAUUAGAUACCCUGGUAGCCUCUGC
rnacentral:rRNA from 1 species